rnacentral:rRNA from 1 species
UACGUAGGGUGCGAGCGUUAAUCGGAAUUACUGGGCGUAAAGCGUGCGCAGGCGGUCUGUUAAGACCGAUGUGAAAUCCCCGGGCUUAACCUGGGAACUGCAUUGGUGACUGGCAGGCUUUGAGUGUGGCAGAGGGAGGUAGAAUUCCACGUGUAGCAGUGAAAUGCGUAGAGAUGUGGAGGAAUACUGAUGGCGAAGGCAGCCUCCUGGGCCAACACUGACGCUCAUGCACGAAAGCGUGGGGAGCAAACAGG